rnacentral:rRNA from 1 species
GAAUAAUGCCUUAUAAGAUACGUUUGUCGCAUGGCAUUUGUAUUAAACGCUCCGGCGCCAUAGGAUGGACCCGCGUCCCAUUAGCUAGUUGGUGAGAUAACAGCUCACCAAGGCCACGAUGGGUAACCGGUCUGAGAGGGCGAACGGUCACACUGGAACUGAGACACGGUCCAGACUCCUACGGGAGGCAGCAGUGGGGAAUAUUGCGCAAUGGGGGCAACCCUGACGCAGCAAUACCGCGUGAGUGAAGAAGGUUUUCGGAUCGUAAAGCUCUGUUAUUGGGGAAGAAAAAAAGACGGUACCCAAGAAGAAAGUUCCGGCUAACUACGUGCCAGCAGCCGCGGUAAUACGUAGGGAACAAGCGUUGUCCGGAUUUACUGGGCGUAAAGGGCACGCAGGCGGUUUUUUAAGUCAGAUGUGAAAGGCCACAGCUCAACUGUGGACAUGCAUUUGAAACUGAAAGACUUGAGUAUUGGAGAGGCAAGUGGAAUUCCUAGUGUAGCGGUGAAAUGCGUAGAUAUUAGGAGGAACACCGGUGGCGAAGGCGGCUACCUGGACCGAUAUGACGC